UACGUAGGGUGCGAGCGUUGUCCGGAAUUAUUGGGCGUAAAGAGCUCGUAGGCGGCCUGUCGCGUCGGAUGUGAAAGCCCGGGGCUUAACCCCGGGUCUGCAUUCGAUACGGGCAGGCUAGAGUGUGGUAGGGGAGAUCGGAAUUCCUGGUGUAGCGGUGAAAUGCGCAGAUAUCAGGAGGAACACCGGUGGCGAAGGCGGAUCUCUGGGCCGUUACUGACGCUGAGGAGCGAAAGCGUGGGGAGCGAACAGG
rnacentral:rRNA from 1 species